rnacentral:rRNA from 1 species
AGAGUCUGAUCAUGGAUCAGAUUGAGCGCCGGCGGCAGGCCGAACACGUAGCAACCCCAGCGAAUGACGGGAGCUUGCUCCUUGGAUUCAGCGGCGGACGGGUGAGUAAUGCCUAGGAAUCUGCCUGGAAGUGGGGGACAACGUUUCGAAAGGAACGCUAAUACCGCAUACGUCCUACGGGGAGAAAGCAGGGGUACCUCCGGGCCUUGCGCUAUCAGAUGAGCCUAGGCCGGAUUAGCUUGUUGGCGAGGUAGAUGGCUCACCAAGGCGACGAUCCGAAACUGGCCUGAGAGGAUGAUCUCUCACACUGGAACUGAGACACGGGCCAAACUCCUACGGGAGGCAGC